GAUGUGGAGUGUUAUAUCAAACAUGAGUAGAAUUCAAUAUGAUUCAAAAGUGGACACGAAAACCUAAA
rnacentral:ncRNA from 1 species